AGUGAACGCUGGCGGCAGGCCUAACACAUGCAAGUCGAGCGGCAGCGCGUCCGACCACCCUCGGGUGGUCGGAUGGCGGCGAGCGGCGGACGGGUGAGGAAUGCAUCGGAAUCUGCCUCGUUGUGGGGGAUAACGUAGGGAAACUUACGCUAAUACCGCAUACGACCUACGGGUGAAAGUGGGGGACCUUCGGGCCUCACGCGAUGAGAUGAGCCGAUGCCGGAUUAGCUAGUUGGCGGGGUAAAGGCCCACCAAGGCGACGAUCCGUAGCUGGUCUGAGAGGAUGAUCAGCCACACUGGAACUGAGACACGGUCCAGACUCCUACGGGAGGCAGCAGUGGGGAAUAUUGGACAAUGGGCGCAAGCCUGAUCCAGCCAUGCCGCGUGAGUGAAGAAGGCCCUCGGGUUGUAAACUGCUUUUGCCAGGGGAUAAAAACACUUUGCGAAGUGGAUUGAAGGUACCUGGUGAAUAAGCCACGGCUAACUACGUGCC
rnacentral:rRNA from 1 species